ensembl:snoRNA
CCUCCUUUUCUUUGCAGGGACUGGGCUUGUGGUCCCACUCCCCGUAAUGUACAGAGGAGUAAUGUACAGCUUUGGUGGGGUAGCCUGGGAGCUGACAGAG